UGAACGCUGGCGGCGUGCCUAACACAUGCAAGUUGAGCGGUAAGGCCCCUUCGGGGGUACACGAGCAGCGAACGGGUGAGUAUCGCGUGGGUAAUCUACCUUGAGGUGGGGGAUAGCCUCGGGAAACCGAGGGUAAUACCGCAUACGUCCUUAACGUCAUAAGGCGACGAGGGGAAAGGCGGGGAUCCUUCGGGACCUGUCGCCUCUGGAUGAGCCCGCGUCCGAUUAGCUUGUUGGUGAGGUAAUGGCUCACCAAGGCUUCGAUCGGUAGCCGGCCUGAGAGGGUGAACGGCCACAUUGGGACUGAGACACGGCCCAGACUCCUACGGGAGGCAGCAGUGGGGAAUUUUGGGCAAUGGGGGAAACCCUGACCCAGCGACGCCGCGUGGAGGAUGACGGCCUUCGGGUUGUAAACUCCUGUCAGGUGGGAAGAAAAGCUUGUCGGUUAAUACCCGGCAGGAAUUGACGGUACCACCAAAGGAAGCCCCGGCUAACUCC
rnacentral:rRNA from 1 species